CACUUCCGUAAAUAAAGAUCACGGGGUUGUUCAUGUGCCCUGUGAGCUCUUUAUCGCCCCCUACAGGUCCUGGAGUCAAACAAGUAAAAGUGUUACCUGUGGAUGGCAAACAGCAGAGCCAAGGCAGCGAUGGCCUUUUCUCCCCCUGACAGAUUGUCCAUGGACAUGAAGCGUUUUCCUGGCGCCACACAGUUGUAGUUGAUGCCGCCAAGAUCUGAUCGAUGACGAUAGAGACGUGUUCAAAGCACUGGCUGAAGAGUUGGAAGCGCCGGGCUUUCACUUGCUCAAACUCCUGGCUGCAUUUUCUAGCUGUUUUGGUGCUGGCCUCAAACUCUGAGUGAGGGGCAGGACAACAAAGUGGACGCAGCAUUGAAGAGCUUUGAGGUUUGGUGCAGAAGUGCGAAGCAGCACUUCUUCGACAGCGGACACUGACUCCUUCAUCUUCUCCAGACCUCUGCACGCCUGCUUCUUACCUGCACCUGACUGAUUUCAUUCAGAUUCCCAGACAGCAGAAUGAUGGGCAGACCCUGGAUCUU